rnacentral:rRNA from 1 species
GAUGAACGCUAGCGGCAGGCCUAACACAUGCAAGUCGAGGGGUAACAUAGAGAAGCUUGCUUUUCUGAUGACGACCGGCGCACGGGUGCGUAACGCGUAUGCAACCUACCCUAUACUGGAGAAUAGCCCGGAGAAAUCCGGAUUAAUGCUCCAUAGUAAUACAAUUUCGCAUGUUAUUGUAUUUAAAGAUUACGGUAUAGGAUGGGCAUGCGUCCCAUUAGCUAGAUGGUAAGGUAACGGCUUACCAUGGCUACGAUGGGUAGGGGGCCUGAGAGGGUGACCCCCCACACUGGUACUGAGACACGGACCAGACUCCUACGGGAGGCAGCAGUGAGGAAUAUUGGGCAAUGGAGGCAACUCUGACCCAGCCAUGCCGCGUGCAGGAAGACGGUCCUAUGGAUUGUAAACUGCUUUUAUUUGGGAAUAAACUCCGCCACGUGUGGCGGCCUGAAUGUACCAAAUGAAUAAGCACCGGCUAACUCCG